rnacentral:misc_RNA from 1 species
GUGAGUCAUCGAAUCUUUGAACGCAUAUGGCGCUCACGGGUAUGCCCGUGAGCAUGUCUGUUUGAGUAUCAGUUCAUCCAUCUCGUACAAACCAAAUACGUUUGGCUUGUUCGAGGACGUUGGGUGUUCGAAGGCCGCAUUCAUCGUGCCUUCGACGCUUGAAAUGAAUGGCAACACCAGAGUUCCAAGCAAUGUCGCUUGACGGGUUCGUUCCAGCUCUGCCCCUCGUUGCUUUUCGAAGUGACUUGUGUGCACGGCUACGCGUAUCUGAAUGUGCUGUAAUGGCAACCAUACAGAUAC